UUAAAUUGAAGAGUUUGAUCAUGGCUCAGAUUGAACGCUGGCGGCAGGCCUAACACAUGCAAGUCGAACGGUAACAGAAAGAAGCUUGCUUCUUUGCUGACGAGUGGCGGACGGGUGAGUAAUGUCUGGGAAACUGCCUGAUGGAGGGGGAUAACUACUGGAAACGGUAGCUAAUACCGCAUAACGUCGCAAGACCAAAGAGGGGGACCUUCGGGCCUCUUGCCAUCGGAUGUGCCCAGAUGGGAUUAGCUAGUAGGUGGGGUAACGGCUCACCUAGGCGACGAUCCCUAGCUGGUCUGAGAGGAUGACCAGCCACACUGGAACUGAGACACGGUCCAGACUCCUACGGGAGGCAGCAGUGGGGAAUAUUGCACAAUGGGCGCAAGCCUGAUGCAGCCAUGCCGCGUGUAUGAAGAAGGCCUUCGGGUUGUAAAGUACUUUCAGCGGGGAGGAAGGGAGUAAAGUUAAUACCUUUGCUCAUUGACGUUACCCGCAGAAGAAGCACCGGCUAACUCCGUGCCAGCAGCCGCGGUAAUACGGAGGGUGCAAGCGUUAAUCGGAAUUACUGGGCGUA
rnacentral:rRNA from 1 species